UACAGAGGGUGCGAGCGUUAAUCGGAAUUACUGGGCGUAAAGCGCGCGUAGGCGGCUUUGCAAGUCGGGUGUGAAAUCCCCAGGCUUAACCUGGGAACUGCAUUCGAGACUGCAUUGCUAGAGUAUGGGAGAGGGAAGUGGAAUUUCCGGUGUAGCGGUGAAAUGCGUAGAUAUCUGGAGGAACACCGGUGGCGAAGGCGGCAUCCUGGACCAAUUCUGACGCUGAGGAGCGAAAGCCAGGGGAGCAAACGGG
rnacentral:rRNA from 1 species